GUGGCACAGUUCUAGGAGGCUCAGAAAGUUUUUUGAGGGGAGCUUGUUGGAGGGAGAAAGUCACUAGGGUCCAGUCUGUGAGUGUUUGCACAGUAUUCAGUCUCUCUCUUCUGCUCUACCUCCUGCCUCCCAUGAGACGAGCAGCAUCCUUCUGAACGUAUUCUUACCACCACGGCAUUCUGCCUCAGCACAGGCCUAAAGUCAGUAGGGCUGAGGACAAGAGAUUGAACUCUUGGGAACUGUGAGAAAAAUAAUUUCCUCCUCUCUUAGGUUGUUUAUGUCAGAGCAACAAGAAAACCAUCCAAUAUAGAUGGGGUUCCAGGAGCCAGCAAAAGCAUCUGCGAAAUGAAGGACUGGAUAGAUGCUGAUCCUUUGAGGAGUCCAGGAGAUGAGCAGUGCUUGGAUGCAUCUCAAUCUUCACCCAGGAUCUCACAGGGAGCCUGGGGCAGAAAGCUCUAUGCAUUUCUGUCUUGGAGCAGCUAUGGAGUUCCUGUCUGCCCCACCAUCCCAGAGGCUGCCAGUCUUUCUCUAGGCACCCAUGGGUGUUCUCUCCAGGUCUGAGAAGGGUCUUCCCAGUGUCCCUGGGUGUGACAAUGUCCACUGUUAAUUUGAUGGGAUGUAGAACCACUUAGGAGGUAAACUUCUGAACGUGUCUGGGUUUUCUAGACCGAGUUAACUAGGGUGGGAGGAGCCACUCUGAGUGUGAGCAGCACCGGUCCAUGGGCUGGGUUGAAAGGAAACGGGGAGAGAGCGAGCUGAGCACAGACAUCCAUCUCUCCUCUGCUGACUGUGGCUCCUGUGGAGUAGCUGACUCCUGGUGCUGUGCCUGCCACGAUGGACUGCGGACUGCUCCCUCAAACUGUGAGCCCAAACCAACCCCGCCCUUUCUUAAACUGAUCUUGUCACAGUGGUGAGAAAAUAAUAAAACAGGUGUGACUUGGUCCUGGGGGGGGGGCCUUCCAGAAAACACUACUUCCUGUUUCUAGCAUUUGGAGUCCUAGGAGGUCAAAGAGAAACAGGUGUUCCCCCUUCCUUAAGCAGGUCUCUCUCCGUGUGACUGCAGAAUGGUCUCCUUGUCUAUUCCAUGUUUUCUCCAGUACUGGGGGCAGAUGACCACUUCCAGAGACUAUUGGCCACCUGAGAAGUGGGACUCAGAGCUGUCUGGGGCUGGCCAAGCCACCAGGCCACUAGCCAAAGGCUCCAGUCCAUGUGGUAGGUGACCUUGACUGCCUGGCCAGACAGAAUGAGGUGUCAGAGUGUCUGAGAGUCUUGGGUGUGGGGAGUUACGUUGAGCAGGGUCCACAGAACAGCUAACCUAGGGCUGGCUGGAGCAUGGUAAAGGUGCCCCCGGGUAGGAGAAACCCCUGCCAGCUGGCUCAAUGCCACACUUCUCAUGUCAGCCAGGCCCUGGGCAGGGGUGGAACUAUGCCAGGCCUGAGCUAUAAGAAGCAGACAUUCUGAAAGUGACUAUUGCAACAGCCUAGGUGUGACAGGGAGUCAACGGCCCAUGCUUAGAGGAAGAAUGGAGGAGUCCAGGGGCAGAGAGACAAAUGCAGGAAGGGGAUGAAGCUGGGGUCCCGUUACAGCCUUCCUGUCUCCUCAACCCAGUGAAGGGUCACCUCCCAGGCUGCCCUCCAUAUCAAUUGAACUGGUUCUCAACCCUGCAGUUACUGAACAUCCACAGGUGCUCUUAUUUGCCCAGUUCAGCUCCAUCCUCUGAGCACUGAGGGCUGAGAGCAGACCUAUGAAUUCCUGGCAGGCAAGACUUCCAGUGGAAGAAUUAAGACAGCAACCCAGCCACGAAAACCUUCAAUGCUUCAACGUACAAGAUGUGUUGGGACUGGUGACUCUCCCAAUUGUCAUCAGAGAGAUUUCACCCACCGACGGAUGGAAACAGAUGUAGAGACCACAGCCAAACGUCAGGUGGAGUUCAAGCAACCCUGCCAAAGAGGGAAAGGGAGGGUGGUAGGAGUCACAGGGUCAGAAACACCACAACCCAUAGAAUCAACCAACCUGAGACUGAAACACCAACCAGGGAGCCUGCAUGGGUCUGACCUAGACUCUCUCUGCACACAUGUUCUAGUUGUGUA